rnacentral:rRNA from 1 species
GUGGAGGUUUUGCUGGUUCGUCCUUUAAAAGGGAUUUAUCUGGCUCCUCUUAAAUGUAUUAGUGGAACCUGUUUGUUGGACCAUCCUUGGUGUGAUAAUUAUCUACGCUUUGGUUAAUCCAGCGCUCUUUUCAAUCUUCAGAACUUGUUCUGGUUGGGGUACUUGCAUUAACUUGCUUCGCCUGUAAUGAAAGGGAAGGAUUUGCUUUCUAAUCGUCCAGUGGACAAUUUAUUGACUAUUUGACCUCAAAUCAGGUAGGACUACCCGCUGAACUUAAGCAUAUCAAUAAGCGGAGGAAAAGAAACUAACAAGGAUUCCCCUAGUAACUGCGAGUGAAGAGGGAAAAGCUCAAAUUUAAAAUCUGGCAGUCUUUGAUUGUCCGAGUUGUAAUUUAGAGAAGUGUUACCAGUGUUGGCCCGUGUACAAGUCUCUUGGAAUGGAGCGUCAUAGAGGGUGAGAAUCCCGUCUUUGACACGGACUACCAAUGCAUUGUGGUGCGCUCUCGAAGAGUCGAGUUGUUUGGGAAUGCAGCUCUAAAUGGGUGGUAAAUUCCAUCUAAAGCUAAAUAUUGGGGAGAGACCGAUAGCGAACAAGUACCGUGAGGGAAAGAUGAAAAGAACUUUGGAAAGAGAGUUAAACAGUACGUGAAAUUGCUAAAAGGGAAACGCUUGAAGUCAGUCGCGUUGUCCAGGGAUCAGCCUUCCUUUUGGUUGGUGUACUUCCUGGUUGACGGGUCAACAUCAGUUUUGACCAGUGGAUAAGAACUGGAGGAAUGUGGCAUCUUCGGGUGUGUUAUAGCCUCUUGUUGUAUACAUUGGUUGGGACUGAGGAACUCAGCACGCCGUAAGGCCGGGUUUUUAACCACGUUCGUGCUUAGGAUGUUGGCAUAAUGGCUUUAAUCGACCCGUCUUGAAACACGGACCAAGGAGUCUAACAUGCCUGCGAGUGUUUGGGUGGAAAACCCGAGCGCGUAAUGAAAGUGAAAGUUAGGAUCUCUGUCGUGGAGAGCACUGACGCCCGGUCCAGACCUUUUGUGACGGUACCGCGGUUGAGCAUGUAUGUUGGGACCCGAAAGAUGGUGAACUAUGCCUGAAUAGGGUGAAGCCAGAGGAAACUCUGGUGGAGGCUCGUAGCGAUUCUGACGUGCAAAUCGAUCGUCGAAUUUGGGUAU